GAUGAACGCUGGCGGCGUGCCUAAUACAUGCAAGUCGAGCGAACAGACGAGGAGCUUGCUCCUCUGACGUUAGCGGCGGACGGGUGAGUAACACGUGGAUAACCUACCUAUAAGACUGGGAUAACUUCGGGAAACCGGAGCUAAUACCGGAUAACAUGUUGAACCGCAUGGUUCAACAGUGAAAGACGGUCUUGCUGUCACUUAUAGAUGGAUCCGCGCCGCAUUAGCUAGUUGGUAAGGUAACGGCUUACCAAGGCAACGAUGCGUAGCCGACCCCAGAGGGUGAUCGCACACACGGGAACUGAGACACGGUCCAGACUCCUACGGGAGGCCGCAGUAGGGAAUCUUCCGCAAUGGGCGAAAGCCUGACGGAGCAACGCCGCGUGAGUGAAGAAGGUCUUCGGAUCGUAAAACUCUGUUAUUAGGGAAGAACAAAUGUGUAAGUAACUAUGCACGUCUUGACGGUACCUAAUCAGAAAGCCACGGCUAACUACGUG
rnacentral:rRNA from 1 species